CCUACGGGAGGCAGCAGUGGGGAAUAUUGGACAAUGGGCGAAAGCCCGAUCCAGCAAUGCCGCGUGAGUGAUGAAGGCCUUAGGGUUGUAAAGCUCUUUUACCAGGGAUGAUAAUGACAGUACCUGGAGAAUAAGCUCCGGCUAACUCCGUGCCAGCAGCCGCGGUAAUACGGAGGGAGCUAGCGUUGUUCGGAAUUACUGGGCGUAAAGCGUGCGUAGGCGGUGAUUCAAGUCAGAGGUGAAAGCCUGGAGCUCAACUCCAGAACGGCCUUUGAAACUAGAUCGCUAGAAUUAUGGAGAGGUAAGUGGAAUUCCGAGUGUAGAGGUGAAAUUCGUAGAUAUUCGGAAGAACACCAGUGGCGAAGGCGACUUACUGGACAUAUAUUGACGCUGAGGUACGAAAGCGUGGGGAGCAAACAGGAUUAGAUACCCUGGUAGUCCACGCCGUAAACGAUGAUAACUAGCUGUUCGGGCUCUCAGAGCUUGAGUGGCGCNGCUACGCAUAAGUUAUCCGCCGUGGGAGGUACGGUCGCGAGAUAAACUACAAGAGUAGUAGACGNGNGAGAGCGACGACGACGACGACGGAGGGAGAG
rnacentral:rRNA from 1 species